CAGUGGUUUUACCCUAUGGUAGCUUUGAAUGGCAGACUCUACCACAGGGUAGAACCACGGAC
rnacentral:pre_miRNA from 1 species